AAGUGUUACAGCUCUUUUAGAAUUUGUUUAGCAGGCUUUCUGGUCUUUACUGGAAAGCCUCU
ensembl:snRNA U7 U7 small nuclear RNA